UUUCAGGAAGAGGAAUGUCUGCGACUAAGUCAAGGGCCACUGGAUAAGGGUUGUUGAUGGCAAAACAGGUUGGAGACUACAUAAGACUUUGACAGUUGGCGGGAAACCAUCAUCAACUGGAGAGAUGCCGGAAGAGGAAUGUCUGCGACUAAGUCAAGGGCCACUGGAUAAGGGUUGUUGAUGGCAAAACAGGUUGGAGACUACAUAAGACUUUGACAGUUGGCGGGAAACCAUCAUCAACUGGAGAGAUGCCGGAAGAGGAAUGUCUGCGACUAAGUCAAGGGCCACUGGAUAAGGGUUGUUGAUGGCAAAACAGGUUGGAGACUACAUAAGACUUUGACAGUUGGCGGGAAACCAUCAUCAACUGGAGAGAUGCCGGAAGAGGAAUGUCUGCGACUAAGUCAAGGGCCACUGGAUAAGGGUUGUUGAUGGCAAAACAGGUUGGAGACUACAUAAGACUUUGACAGUUGGCGGGAAACCAUCAUCAACUGGAGAGAUGCCGGAAGAGGAAUGUCUGCGACUAAGUCAAGGGCCACUGGAUAAGGGUUGUUGAUGGCAAAACAGGUUGGAGACUACAUAAGACUUUGACAGUUGGCGGGAAACCAUCAUCAACUGGAGAGAUGCCGGUAAAAAGAUGGCCAUAAAACAGUGACCGCUGAUUCGCAUUGAGUUCUUUCUUACAUAUUGGAUGACCUAUGUUUUUUAUUGUUUAAAUCAUUGCGGCUUGGAAUGCUCUUUAAGAAAAGGAAGAGGAAUGUCUGCGACUAAGUCAAGGGCCACUGGAUAAGGGUUGUUGAUGGCAAAACAGGUUGGAGACUACAUAAGACUUUGACAGUUGGCGGGAAACCAUCAUCAACUGGAGAGAUGCCGGUAAAAAGAUGGCCAUAAAACAGUGACCGCUGAUUCGCAUUGAGUUCUUUCUUACAUAUUGGAUGACCUAUGUUUUUUAUUGUUUAAAUCAUUGCGGCUUGGAAUGCUCUUUAAGAAAAGGUAUGGUUAUGGGGGUGUCUACGCGCAAAAGUUUGACUUUAUUUUUUGUUAAAGUUAUUGCUUUUACAUUGAAUUUGUGCAGGAAAUCUUUUGGUAUGUUGUGACCUGUAAUCUAGAGUCCGUGCAAAAUGGUAGUGUUUUUUAAUUCGAACUUAUAGUUGUGCUUUACUUGAAAAGUGUGAAGACACUAGUGUAAAUUGUGGAACGAAUUAAAUUCAUGUUUUAAUAUAUUGUAAACUUUAUUAACAAUAAUGUGUAAUACUUAUGUCAAAAUGUUUUUGUUGUUUGGUCAACAGAUAUACUUUCUUUUUUUAUUAAGAUGCAGGGGUGUGAUUUUUCCGCGGAUCCGCGGAUUGCCGCGGAUCGGGUUGUUUCGGAGGUCAUUUCUGAGAUUCGCGUAAAUUUGUAAAAAAAAAUGGGGGGGGGGAGAGGGGGGUACAUCCGAUUCCGCGGACGUCUUUUAUGUGCGGCCCGAAAUAUCCGCGGCUCGCGAAAUCACUCCGCAUAGUACACUGGUAGAUUCUGCCUAAGCAAUUUGAAACGAGCGAUGUCAUUGGCUGUUGUUUUCCAAUCUACCAAUUAAACUGGUCCUUUUUAAUGCGUUCGGUAUUUCUUUUCUGAUUUGUCUGCAAAUGGCGCAGUUGCAAAGCGAAAAUUAAGUUUAUCCAAAUGACAAAUAUCAAUCGAAUUAGCGACUGUCAUCAUAUAGUUAGAUAGGAUAUAUGAAAUGUGUCUGUCAUCGAUGAAGACUGCGUUUUAGAAACAAGCAACACAUAUUUUUUUUCAAAUGUGCGCAGUGAAUUUGUGUCUCGAAAACCAGUGUUUGCAAAUUGGAGUUCACUUAGUUCUGGCUACCAUAACUUUAAAUGUCGCUUUUAAUGAUUUUUGACUGGCGCGACUUUAUACAGGUCUGUCAAUACUAUAUAAACUGUACGCUGAAGUUUCUUUAGCUAGAGUUCACUCUACUUGCGAGGUAAAACAAUUUAGAAGAGUAUCGUUUGAAAAUGGAAAUAGACAAACAUGAUUUGAUUUAUAUGUUAGUGGAUCUGUGUGUAAUCAGAUUCAUAUGCAUAUUCUGCUUUAUUAUGUUUGUCACACUGUUCAGUUAACUGAAAUAGCAUUGAACUGUAGAUGUGAAAUGCAAGAUUUUAAAACAAAAGGUAAACACAUUAAAAUUUAUUAACUUUACUCAGUUUAAUACAUCAUUAACUCAACAAGAACACUCAAGUGUGUUUGUUUAUAUUUAUUAAUGUUUUCCCCAUUUGAUAUUUAAUUAAAUAAGUCCAUUUACUGUGAAUACAUUGAACAACUGCUGUUUUUGAUCACAGUAAAUAUUGUUUACUUUGCAUCCCCAGUAUGUGAAAUGUGAAGUUAAACAGGUUUUCAUUAAGAAAUAGUGUUAUGAUGUUCAAGAAAUUGUUUAUUUUAAUGUAUGUUUUAUUUUAAUGUCUGUUUUAAGGUUUGUCAUUGCGUUAUUCACGUAGUCAAAAUCAGUCGACAGAAUUUUCCUCCCCUCUGACUUCGCCUCAAUCACACCCCUGAGAUGUUAGUAAAGUUAUAGCCCUUUGAUGGUCUAUACUCUAUUGUCCUUUAAUAAGUUUG